CAAAAGUAGAAUUAAGACAUCCGGGAUAAAUGACUCAGCUGAGCUCAAUGAAGCCAAAACAUGUGCGUCCAGGUUUAAUUGGUUGCACAAAGACCAAGCCAGGAUGAGCAGACACGGAUUCAUUAAGCCAGGUGAAACCAAUCCUGGAUAGGUGCGCGCUCACGGCUCACUCAAAUAGACCCCGCCACAGAUCACAGAUUAACUGAUUUACCAUGGCAACUAGAGCCGCGUACUUUUCCCCGUCGGAAGCACAAAUCCUCAUGGAGGCAUACGAGGAGGUAAAAUAUAUAAUUAAGAAGAAAGGCAACACCGCCACAGUGAUAAAGCAAAGAGAAAAAGCGUGGCAAAGUAUUGCAGACCGCCUGAAUGCAUUAAACAUGAACGGGCCAAAACGGACAUGGCAGCAGGUCAAAAUCAAAUACAAGAACAUUCUGCAGAAUGCAGUGAAAAAGAAUACCCACAGACAAGGCACGGGUGGUGGGUCACCAAAGGCUGACCUUACCCCAGCAGAGGACAUGGCCUUGGAGCUAAAUAAAGGCAGGCCCGUCUUAGAGG
rnacentral:lncRNA from 1 species